rnacentral:misc_RNA from 1 species
CCAUUCUGUGCAAUAUACCAUCUGAUACAAUAUAAUUAGCUGCGUCCUUAGAUAAGAGCAUCUGAUACAAUAUAAUUAGCCAAGUUCUUGGUUAAGGGACAGGUAUACGUGUAGAAAGGGUCAUAUCUCCUUUCUUACCGAAAUAUGAAAUACUCACCUCCUCAUAUUUCUGACCUACUUUCACUGGAUGUCUUGAAUAAAAAGCUUGGUCAGUCUGCAAUCCCAAAGGAGUAGGUUGGAUAAGUUAUUCGUUCUAUAGGUCUGCCUUAAUACCUCAGGUUUUCAUUAGGUAAAAAAUGUCGAAGUCAUUAUUACUCUAAAAUAAUAUGAUCUUACACAUAUUUUUGUAAUCGAGACAACUCGCUUAAUGUACUUUUAUAUAUGUUUACUAAGU